rnacentral:rRNA from 1 species
UUAGAGUUUGAUCCUGGCUCAGGAUGAACGCUAGCGGCAGGCUUAACACAUGCAAGUCGAGGGGCAGCGCGGGAUAGCAAUAUCCUGGCGGCGACCGGCGGAAGGGUGCGUAACGCGUGAGCGACAUGCCCGUUGCCCGGGGACAACCGGUGGAAACGCCGACUAAUCCCCGAUGGUAUACGAUGCUGCAUGGCAUUGUAUUGAAAGUUACGGCGGCGACGGAUUGGCUCGCGUCCGAUUAGCUAGUUGGCGGGGUGACGGCCCACCAAGGCGACGAUCGGUAGGGGUUCUGAGAGGAAGGUCCCCCACAAUGGGACUGAGACACGGCCCAUACUCCUACGGGAGGCACCAGUGAGGAAUAUUGGUCAAUGGGCGGAAGCCUGAACCAGCCAUGCCGCGUGCGGGAAGGAGGCCCUAUGGGCUGUGAACCGCUUUUGCCUGGGGGCAAUAAGGGCGCCGGGCGCGCCCGAUGAGAGUACCAGGCGAAUAAGUAUCGGCUAACUCCGUGCCAGCAGCCGCGGUAAUACGGAGGAUACGAGCGUUAUCCGGAUUUAUUGGGUUUAAAGGGUGCGCAGGCGGAUCGGUAAGUCAGGGGUGAAAAGUUCGUGCUUAACAUGAAUCGUGCCUUUGAUACUGCCGGACUAGAGUGCAAUAGACGUGGGCGGAAUGUGAUGUGUAGCGGUGAAAUGCUUAGAUAUGUCACAGAACACCGAUCGAGAAGUCAGCUCACGAGUUUGCAACUGACGCUCAUGCACGAAAGCGUGGGGAUCAAACAGGAUUAGAUACCCUGGUAGUCCACGCUGUAAACGAUGAUCACUCGUUGUUGGCCGGCGACGGUCAGUGGCCAAGCGAAAGCGAUAAGUGAUCCACCUGGGGAGUACGAUCGCAAGGUUGAAACUCAAAGGAAUUGACGGGGGCCCGCACAAGCGGAGGAGCAUGUGGUUUAAUUCGAUGAUACGCGAGGAACCUUACCCGGGCUUGAACGUAAGACGACGACGCAGGAGACUGCGUUUCCUUCGGGCGUUUUGCGAGGUGCUGCAUGGUUGUCGUCAGCUCGUGCCGUGAGGUGUUAGGUUAAGUCCUGCAACGAGCGCAACCCUUACUUUUAGUUGCCAGCAUGUAAAGAUGGGGACUCUAAAAGAACUGCCUACGCAAGUAGAGAGGAAGGUGGGGAUGACGUCAAAUCAGCACGGCCCUUAUGUCCGGGGCUACACACGUGCUACAAUGGCGCACACAGAGGGCAGUGACCCUGCGAGGGGGAGCCAAUCCAUUAAAGUGCGUCUCAGUUCGGAUCGGAGUCUGGAACCCGACUCCGUGAAGUUGGAUUCGCUAGUAAUCGCGCAUCAGCCAUGACGCGGUGAAUACGUUCCCGGGCCUUGUACACACCGCCCGUCA